UUUGACACUAAAAGAAAGAUAAAUAAUUAAUUUAUUAAAAAUAAAAAAAAUUAUUUACAUAUAAUUAAAAGGACUACUAGAUGCAUUUUAAUAUAUACAAAGAGAUACUCCCACAUCUUAUGUUAUUGUCAACUAGUUUUCACAAAAAGCUUAUUUUACCUCAUAACGUGUUAAAUUUAGUUGACACACUAAUUCAAUCUACAAAGUAGAUUU
rnacentral:lncRNA from 1 species